rnacentral:lncRNA from 1 species
AUGUCUGCGAGAGCAGCUCAGCGGGGCUGUGGAGGGAGUUUCACUCCAAGAGUGAAGAAGUACCUUCACCUCGGGCCACGUCCCGGCUGGCUCUGGGCGUCCUCAGCUUCGGACAUGCCUGGGAGCAGGACAGCCUCGUGCGCACCCAUCCUAUUGAUCCUCCAGCUCUGGGACCUCUACCCACGGUGUGCUGGAGCCAUGAACGCCCUUGCCUCCUCAGAGCUGCUCCCCGCAGUUUUGCAUCCUGCUUUGGGCCAGGACACAUCACUGGUUGUCCAAGCAUAGUCUCCUGACUACAGACAGCUGAGUUGUGGGCUCAGUAUCCUCUUGUUCUGUGGCACAUUAUUUUUACUUAAAAGCACGACUGGCAGAUGGACAAUGGUUGCUUGGCAGCACAUACUAUAUACUCAAGGAUAUCCAAUUAUCAAAAACAGCUAACAAAACACUUCUCUCCCAGCUAUGUAUCUGUUCAAGACCAGAUUGUUUUCAUAAAUUUCAAACAAAGCAACAGAUAGUAAAUUGAAUGUAGAAACAGAUUGGAGAAUCCAGUUGCCUUUUGUAAAAUCAAAUCUCCAAAAAUGCAAAACAAUGCUCCUCUGCUUGGUGUGCUUGUCUGUGUGUGUUAGAAAAUACAAUUGUUUAACAUUAAAUGCUUAUGUUAGUGUUUAUUGAAUGUGUUGUCAUUUUUACAUGAAUUGGUAAGUAUUUAAAAAUGUAUCAUGGGUGAGCAUUUGGCACAGCAGUUAAGACACCCACAUGCCAUACCUGAGUGCCUCAGUGGGAGAUCAGGCUCCAAUUUUGAUUUUAGCUUCCUGCUAAUGUGCACCCUGGAAGGCACCAUGUGAUGGCUCAUAUUCUCUGCUACCCACGUGGGAAACCAGGCUUGAGUUCCUGGCACCCGGCUUCAGCCUGACCCAGCCUCAGCUAUUGCAGCCAUUUGUGGAGUCAAUCAAUGGAUGGAAGAUUUCUCUCUUUGUCUCUCUGCCUCCCAGAUAAAUUAAAUAAAGACAAAAAAUAUAUAAAUCUAUCA